rnacentral:rRNA from 1 species
GACGAACGCUGGCGGCGUGCUUAACACAUGCCAGUCGAACGGAAAGGCCUCUUUCGGGGGGUACUCGAGUGGCGAACGGGUGAGUAACACGUGAGUAACCUGCCCUUGACUUUGGGAUAACUUCAGGAAACUGGGGCUAAUACCGGAUAGGAGCUCCUGCUGCAUGGUGGGGGUUGGAAAGUUUCGGCGGUUGGGGAUGGACUCGCGGCUUAUCAGCUUGUUGGUGGGGUAGUGGCUUACCAAGGCUUUGACGGGUAGCCGGCCUGAGAGGGUGACCGGCAACAUUGGGACUGAGAUACGGCCCAGACUCCGACGGGAGGCAGCAGGGGGGAAUAUUGCACAAGGGGUGGAAGCCUGAUGCAGCAACGCCGUGUGCGGGAGGACGGCCUUCGGGUUGUAAACCGCUUUCGCUCAUGACGAAGCUUUGUGUGACGGUAGUGGGUAAAGAAGCACCGGCUAACUACGUG